UGUGACGCGAGCGAGAGAGGAAAGGUGACAUCGCGACCCGUGACGUGUCAAGUCAUGUUCCCAAAUCAGUGCGUUUUUUGUCUUUUAUCUUUCUUAAGAUAUUCAUCUAAAGUUAAGUGACAUUGUUCUAGUGCAUAUGUGCGUAGAAUUUUAGUGAAAAUUGUCAAAGAAUACGCAGUGGAGUGCAAUGUGUCAAUUGUGCGAUAUCCAAAAUGAAAUGGCGUCAUGGCCAUCAUGGCCGUCAUGGUGUUGUGAAAAAAUUCAAGUGGUUUAUUCUUGGAAAAAUCAUCGUUUUUACCAAUUUAUCUCGAAGAUAUCGUAGAUUGAUACGAAAUAUUCGAUAUUGGUUGAUAAAAACGAUGAAAUAAUCACAUGUGCAAAAUAAAAAUUCCCAAAAAAUGUUUUUGUAUCAGCCGGACGCCAAACAAAAUAUUUAUGGGGGCUUUUUUGCCCUAUUUUUCUUUCUUUUUUAGAUUCUUCCGGAUCUCUCUGAAAGUGUGUGAUUGUUUUUUCGGAGUCAGUGUGAAGAAAAGUGAGACACUGAUUGUUGGACGUUUUGGAGAUGAGGUGGACAGUAUCCUGUCCGUCACUGUGGAGUGGGAAGUACUGGAAAACCCAGAAAACUCUGAUUUGUGUCUUCACUGAAUUCUCCCAUCAAACCGCCUAAUUCUCGCCAUCCCAUCAGUCUUCAACAGUAGAAUCUCAGGCAUCACAGGAAGCGUCACUAUCAGACAAUUUUGGUCGACUAUUAGGGAGGUGUUAAAAUUAAUGCCAGAGCUGCUACUCUUUGAUUUUGAGUCACAAUAUGGUCAAAAAAAUGUUCGUGUUAAACUGACGUCACUUCUUCAGAAAAUUGACAAGGAAUACCCUUUGUUUCCCGAUGCUAGACAGAAAAGGAACAACGAAAUCAUUGAUGAGUGGACGACAUCGGUCCAGGGAUUUUUGAAAGUCCUUUCGUUUUUCCCACCUGUGAACACUGAUGCGAAGAAGCAAAAAGCAACUGUUAAGGACUCCUUGUCAUCUUUUAUAAUAUUCUUUCCACUGGGCACUCCACCUUCGGGAAUAAUGGACGAUAUUAAUAAAAGAGGUGAAGGAAUACAAUUCUUCGCGGAUGGUUCCAACAAAAAGGCCCUUUCAAACUUCUACUUGAAGGUGGACGACCUCAUCUGGAAGAUCAAAGCUACAGAUUUUAUUGAUGCAUUUGAUUUCAUUUUUAAAGUUCAUUUCGCUCUCAAUAUUGAUUUUAAAAAAUGUCAUUCCCAUUUCUAUAAGUUUAUUCAGCAUUAAGUUUAUGGAAUUUCUCUCCAAAAGAUGCCAGUUUCUUUAAAAUCUGUAGCAGCCCGUUGUAAUCUAAACUGAAAAAACCAAUUGAUAAUGCAAUAAUGAAACUAAAAAUUUUAACCCUCUAAGUUCGAUUAAGUCACCCUAAAACUUCUCGUUUUUAACCCUUUAAGGACGAGAAAUUUUUUACGGACCGAAAAUCGUCAAUAAAAAUGAAACCGGUAAACGUCUUACCUCUAACCUUGGAAAGUCCAACAGAGCCUUAUUUGGUGUAUUUUUCACCUCUUUGAACAAUAGGGAUAAAAAUGGUCAAAAAAUUUAAGUAAUUUUUCUGGCGAUACCAAUGAUAGAUCAAUUGUCGCUCUAAUGAAAAAUAUUACGUUUGAGUAUUGUAGUUUUUAUUCCCAAAAUGGUUUUGCUUAAAAAUAAUUGGAAAUAUAAAAAAUAAUUAAAAUCAAUUUUCAAUAUGAGAAUUUACAAAGCGUCAUUUUUGAGCUUAUAUAUUUAUUAUAUAGCAAAUAGCUAAAGAUUUACAAAAAAUAUUCUAGAUUCCUUCAACCUUUUACUUUAUAAUUAUGUACAAACAUAAGAAAAAAUAACUUUAGGUAGUCAGGAAAAAUUACUUUCUUUAUAGGACACCGGUGUUCCAAUCGACCUUAAAGGGUUAAAAAGAUUAAUUCGCCUGAGCAAUGUAUGAAAAUUAAAUUGUCUUUGUAAUAAAGAAGAAUUUAAAAAGGC